CUGGAGGUAUCAGAAGUGCGAAUGCUGACAUAAGUAACGAUAAAGCGGGUGAAAAGCCCGCUCGCCGGAAGACCAAGGGUUCCUGUCCAACGUUAAUCGGGGCAGGGUGAGUCGACCCCUAAGGCGAGGCCGAAAGGCGUAGUCGAUGGGAAACGGGUUAAUAUUCCCGUACUUGGUGUUACUGCGAAGGGGGGACGGAGAAGGCUAUGUUGGCCGGGCGACGGUUGUCCCGGUUUAAGCGUGUAGGUGUGUGUUCCAGGUAAAUCCGGUUCACUUUAACACUGAGGCGUGAUGACGAGGCACUACGGUGCUGAAGCAACAAAUGCCCUGCUUCCAGGAAAAGCCUCUAAGCAUCAGGUAACAUCAAAUCGUACCCCAAACCGACACAGGUGGUCAGGUAGAGAAUACCAAGGCGCUUGAGAGAACUCGGGUGAAGGAACUAGGCAAAAUGGUGCCGUAACUUCGGGAGAAGGCACG
rnacentral:rRNA from 1 species